rnacentral:rRNA from 1 species
CCUACGGGAGGCAGCAGUGGGGGAUAUUGGACAAUGGGGGGAACCCUGAUCCAGCGACGCCGCGUGAGUGAAGAAGGCCCUGCGGGUCGCAGACCUCUUUGGACGGGGAGCAAGGCCGCCGACGUGUCGGCGGAAGGAGAGUACCCGUAGAACAAGCAUCGGCUAACUCCGUGCCAGCAGCCGCGGUAAUACGGAGGAUGCGAGCGUUAUCCGGAUUUAUUGGGUUUAAAGGGUGCGCAGGCGGCACGGCAAGCCGGCGGUCAAAUCGCGGGGCUCAACCCCGCCCAGCCGCCGGAACUGCCGGG